AAUGUAUGAACAGCAGGUAGACUGGUCAGCAGUGAUUCACUCCCUGGCAGCCAUGAUGAGAGCACCACGAGCUCAAUUCAGCCCUGCUGGAGGUGACUAUUUCUCCUUUUCCUUUCACGGUAUUGCACCUACGUUACACCAGCGAGAACGAACCCUUCCACAGCAAUACCAACCUCAGGGGUCUCCUAGCACUUCUCCACCUGCCUUGGAAGGACAGACAGCCUCUCCCAACUGCCCACAGGUGGAAACAAGCUGCAAGCCCUCCAUGCUGUUAUAGCACUGAAGAAAAAGCAAAUAAGGAACAACAUUCGAAUGAAGGAAAAGCAGUUCAGUACAAGCAUCAAGCAAAGUCCAGCCUGCUUCAGGAAAAUUUUAAUUAUGGCUCACAUGAUUUGAAAUCAAGAGGCAACUGGGAAGCCAAUUGUGCUCAAAUGGACCACUUAAAAUUACUCAAUGCCCAGGUAUUUCUUCAAGAGACUUCAAAUUCACGGAGAUCUUCCCUGGCAUUUCAGAGUAACAUCCAUUUUGAACACAGCUUCAAAAGAAAUUUAUCUGCUGGUUUGCUUGACAAACCACUACAUGCAACUUGGUUACAAAGAGCCUGAAUGUCUCUUGUUGCUACUGUUGGAAUCCAGAAGAUCGUACUUUGACAAGGACUUGGUGACCAAGCAGUUCACCUAUAAACAGUUCUGAAGGCUAACAUUUAAUAAGCUAACAUUCAUCGCUACCUGAAA